rnacentral:rRNA from 1 species
AUUGAACGCUGGCGGCAUGCUUUACACAUGCAAGUCGAACAGUAACAGGGUGCUUGCACCGCUGACGAGUGGCGAACGGGUGAGUAAUGCGUCGGAACGUGCCGAGUAGUGGGGGAUAACGCAGCGAAAGUUGUGCUAAUACCGCAUACGUACUGAGGUAGAAAGUGGGGGACCUUCGGGCCUCACGCUAUUCGAGCGGCCGACGUCUGAUUAGCUGGUAGGUGAGGUAAAGGCUCACCUAGGCGACGAUCAGUAGCGGGUCUGAGAGGAUGAUCCGCCACACUGGGACUGAGACACGGACCAGACUCCUACGGGAGGCAGCAGUGGGGAAUUUUGGACAAUGGGCGAAAGCCUGAUCCAGCCAUGCCGCGUGUCUGAAGAAGGCCUUCGGGUUGUAAAGGACUUUUGUCAGGGAGGAAAUCCCUAGUGCUAAUAACACUGGGGGAUGACAGUACCUGAAGAAUAAGCACCGGCUAACUACGUGCCAGCAGCCGCCGUAA